rnacentral:rRNA from 1 species
GAUGAACGCUGGCGGCGUGCCUAAUACAUGCAAGUCGAGCGAACGGACGAGAAGCUUGCUUCUCUGAUGUUAGCGGCGGACGGGUGAGUAACACGUGGAUAACCUACCUAUAAGACUGGGAUAACUUCGGGAAACCGGAGCUAAUACCGGAUGAUAUUUUGAACCGCAUGGUUCAAAAGUGAAAGACGGUCUUGCUGUCACUUAUAGAUGGAUCCGCGCUGCAUUAGCUAGUUGGUAAGGUAACGGCUUACCAAGGCAACGAUGCAUAGCCGACGUGAGAGGGUGAUCGGCAACACUGGAACUGAGACACGGUCCAGACGCCUACGGGAGGCAGCAGUAGGGAAUCUUCCGCAAUGGGCGAAAGCCUGACGGAGCAACGCCGCGUGAGUGAUGAAGGUCUUCGGAUCGUAAAACUCUGUUAUUAGGGAAGAACAUAUGUGUAAGUAACUGUGCACAUCUUGACGGUACCUAAUCAGAAAGCCACGGCUAACUACGUG